AUGUCUACUUCAGUCCCCCACUCACAUUCUUGCCAUGCAAUCCCAUCAGUCCAUCAAUUACCAUCUCUACCACUCAUGGAGAUCACCGCCACCGCGGCUCGCGCGGAGAUCGACAGCUCCCGGCCGUUCCAGUCUGUCAGGGAGGCCGUCGAGGUCUUCGGCGGUGUGAGGUACGUCGCAGGCUCCCGUGGCAGCAGCGCAUCCAGCUCCAAGUUCAGCGUGCCACGGGCGGCUUCCCCGCCGUCAUCCACGUUGCUGGGCUGCCUGAAGAAGCUGGAGGCCGACCUGGCGGAGUCUAGGAGCGAGCUGGCGCAACUCAAGCAGAGGCAAUCGCAGAUGGAGAUGGCCGUCUCCAGCAUCGGCAUGCAGUUCGCAAACAGCCUGGGGAUCUUCUCCGACUCCGCGGACCUCAAGAAAGGGAAGGAGCUCGCCGUCAUCGACGUCGGCAGGACCGCGAUGGUCGGCGCAGAGGAGGAAUACGGUGACGGCCGGGUUCGCAGCGAUCUAUGGGUCGACGAGACCAGGGCCGAGGAGUGGAUGGCCAGCCUCGAGUACCUGCCGAGCCUCUCGGAGGCGCUGACAAUCAAGAUGGUCGAUGAUGACAUAAGGAAGAUGAAGAGCAACAAGAAAGCCAAGAAGAAGCAGCACAAGAAGCAGAGGAAGAAUGCGUUGUCCCUCGUGGGAGGCAUCUUCUCCAACAAGUGCAGGUGA
rnacentral:rRNA from 1 species